UCACAGCUCAAGGAAUCCUCCUGCCUCAGCCCCCUAAGCAGCUGGGACCACAGGGCUCUUGGGAGAUGCUGGGUGCUGUGCUGCAUGUUUUGCAACGAGCUGAUCUUCUCGUCAAUCCGGUAAGGGCUUGAGCAAUUCACUUUCCCUCCCUGAGUCUUGGUGACCUGUGCUGUGAAAUAGAGAGAGACACCUACCACCUGCUGUCAGAGCCCAUCAAGAAGAGAAGUCAUUUGCAAAGUCGUCAGGCAUGAAGCCCAUCUUGAAAUUCAAGGCUUAGUGGGCAUGGUGGCUCAGGCCUAUAAUCUCAGCAUUUUUGGGGGCUGCAGCAAGAGGAUUGCUUUGAGCCCAAGAGUUCGAGACCAGCCUGGACAACAUAGUGAUACCCUAUCUCUUAGAAAAAAAAAUUAAUUAGG